AAAAACUUCAUCUGACACCAAUGCUAUCAAAUCCGCAUCAGUAACCCUCUUUUUUUGUUCAGCUAUUGCCUUGAAACGCCAAAAGAUGUUGCCGAGUUGCUCAUCAUUCAAUUCAUAGCCAAGCUCUUUUAAUCGAUCUUUUAAAGCAUGGCGGCCACUGAGUUUUCCAAGGACAAUCCCAGCAUUAUUAGAUCGUUCAAGCCCAAUAUCUUCAGGAGACAUAAUCUCAUACGUACCUUUAUGUUUUAGCAUUCCAUCCUGAUGUAUGCCACUUUCAUGAGCAAAAGCAUUAGCUCCAACAAUAGCCUUGUGCGGCUGCAAAUGCAAUCCAGUGUACUCUUCUACCAUCUUGCUUGCCAUAGUGAUGCGUUUAGGAUUGAUUCCAGUAUAAAGACCUCCUAA
rnacentral:misc_RNA from 1 species